rnacentral:rRNA from 1 species
AUAUUGGUCAAUAGCCUAGUGGCUGAACCAGUAACUUGGAAGAAUGUAUAACGGAUAAGCUGUAUAAAAUUCUAGGUAGAGAAUAAAUGAUGAUCAAAUUUUAUCUAUAAGUCUUGACCAAAUUGCGUGCCAGCUGUCGCGGUAAUACGCAAAAGACUAGUGUUAUUCAUCUUAAAUAGGUUUAUAGGGUACCUAGACGGGAAAUUAAGCUUUCAAAUGGACUGAUUUCCUAGAGUUUUAAUAAGAUAAGGUCGAAUUACCAGAGAAGAGAUAAAAUUCUAUUAUCCUGGUAGGACGGGUAACGGCAAAGGCAACCUUUAAUGUAAAAACUGACGUUGAGGGACGAAGCCUUGGAUAUCGAUUAGGAUUAGAUACCCUAGUAGUCCAUGGAGACAAUGAUGAAUGUCAUAGGGUAGAUUAAAAUUUAUCCUAUAAAUGAAAGUGUAAGCAUUCCACCUCAAGACUAAUGUCGCAUGACACAAACCGAAAUCAUUAGACCGUUUGUGAAACCAGUAGUGAAGUAUGUUAUUUAAUUCGAUGGUCCGCGAAAAACCUUACCACAAUUUGAAUAUUAUUUUAAUAUUACAAGCGUUGCACGGCUGUCUUCAGUUAAUG